AUGCACGCCAUCGCCGAGCUGACCGGCGGCACCUACUCCUUCAUCGAGAACCAGGCGGUGGUGCAGGACGCAUUCGCGCAGUGCAUUGGCGGCCUCCUUUCAGUCACUGCGCAGGAGGCAUGGAUCGCCAUCACGUGCCCACACCCUGACGUGCGCGUCCGGGACGUCAAGUCCGGUCGCUAUGAGAGCCGCGUCCUUGCCUAUGGACGUGCCGCCUCGGUGGAUAUUGGCGAACUUUAUGCCGACGAGGAGAGGUGCUUCCUGCUGUUCGUGGAUGUGCCAAGAGUCGCCGGCGCCACAAAAGACAAUGACGCCAUGGCCACACCUCUUAUCAAGGCGAGGUGCACCUACAAAGACGCGGCGACGGGGAAGUCCAUGGAGGUGGCCGGUGAGGACGCCAUUGUGAAGAGACCGACGGAGGUGACGACCGGCCAAGAGCCAUCCAUAGGAGUAAAUUGCAUAAAACCAUCACUUUGA
rnacentral:rRNA from 1 species